AGAAAGCUGGGUAGGAUGUGAGGCUGUGAGAAUGGAAACAUAGGAAGGGAAGAGGGAAGCCGCCAUCUUAGGUAGCUAGUGUUUAUAAAAUGGCCGCUUCUGAGAGAUGUGGGCUGAGUGCCAGGCAGGGUGGUGGGCACGAAGGAGAAUGACAACAGAAGGAAGGGUUUCCCAGCUGACCAAGAACAGACCUGAAUAUCACUAUCAGUGGGAUUAGAAAGGGAGGCGGAUGGGGGGGGGUCUCCCAGAAGAGUUCUAGGGUUCAGCAUCUAAGCAGGGUAGUAGAAGCCUCAUCCCUGUGUACAGAUCCCAGAGGACUCAAGGCUAUGGGUGAUGUCGAAGGUGCGGAAGAAUCAAGUUGGAAAGACCAGCAGGAGACAGACAGAGUAAGGUUCCUUGAAUGCUUGGUUUAUGUGCCUGGCUGGA
ensembl:lincRNA Gm3764 predicted gene 3764